CCUACGGGUGGCAGCAGUGAGGAAUAUUGGUCAAUGGGCGUAAGCCUGAACCAGCCAAGUCGCGUGCAGGAUGACGGUUCUAUGGAUCGUAAACUUCUUUUAUACGGGAAUAAAAUGUGGGACGUGUCCUAUUUUGUAUGUACCUUAUGAAUAAGGAUCGGCUAACUCCGUGCCAGCAGCCGCGGUAAUACGGAGGAUCCGGGCGUUAUCCGGAUUUAUUGGGUUUAAAGGGUGCGUAGGCGGCCUUUUAAGUCAGCGGUGAAAUUCUGUGGCUCAACCAUGGAAUUGCGGCUGAAACUGGGGGGCUUGAGUAGGUGUGAGGUAGGCGGAAUGCGUGGUGUAGCGGUGAAAUGCUUAGAUAUCACGCAGAACCCCGAUUGCGAAGGCAGCCUGCCAAGCCAUGACUGACGCUGAUGCACGAAAGCGUGGGGAUCAAACAGGAUUAGAUACCCGUGUAGUC
rnacentral:rRNA from 1 species